rnacentral:lncRNA from 1 species
UUGGGAAACAGACGACUCAUUUCAUCAUGUAGGUCUGGGAUCAAACUCGGGUCAUCAGACUGCAGACACACUAACUGCAAACCGACCUGGAAAAGGCCAAAGAUGGUGGGGGAGAGACUUCAGUGACUCGUCUGGAAGCUCAGGAAUCUCAGGGUGACUGGCAGCUAUGGGAGGUUGGGACACAAGCCUGGAACAGCCUGUCCCCAGAGCCUCUUGAAGAGACCAAGCCUGGUCACAUCUCGUCUCACACUUGUGGCUUCUAGCCUUGGAGAGAGGAGCUGUCUGUUGUCAUCUGGCUUGUGGAACACUUAGUCCCUACCUGAGUUAGGAGCUGGGAAAGCCACACUUCUCUACACAUUGAAUUUUGAACUGCCUGUCUUCCCAGGUUAUGAACUGGUAAGACGCCCUCUGGGGCUGGAGAGAUGGCUAGGGGUUAAAGUUCCUACUGCCCUUCCAGAGGACCUGAGUUCAGAUCCAAGCCCCCAUGUGGUUCAGCUCAGAACCACCUGGAACCCCGGCUCUAGCGCAUCCAGUGCCCUUCUGGCCUCCCCAGCAUUUGGGCACACAUGCGGACACAAGGUUAGAGACUGUGUUUUUACUUGUUUGAAGACGGCAGGCUGGAGCGACUGCUGAGGGUGGCUCACAGCUGCUGGUGACCU